rnacentral:rRNA from 1 species
UACGUAGGUGGCGAGCGUUGUCCGGAUUUACUGGGCGUAAAGAGCGCGCAGGCGGCUGGUCAAGUCCGAUGUGAAAGCUCCCGGCUUAACUGGGAAAUUGCAUCGGAAACUGAUCGGCUGGAAGGUGGGAGAGGGUAGCGGAAUUCCCGGUGUAGUGGUGAAAUGCGUGGAUAUCGGGAGGAACACCAGUGGCGAAGGCGGCUACCUGGACCAGCACUGACACUGAGGCACGAAAGCGUGGGGAGCAAACAGG